rnacentral:rRNA from 1 species
AGCAGCAGCCGCGGUAAUACGUAGGGUGCAAGCGUUAAUCGGAAUUACUGGGCGUAAAGCGUGCGCAGGCGGUUUGUUAAGACAGGUGUGAAAUCCCCGGGCUCACCCCGGGAACUGCAUUUGUGACUGGCAAGCUAGAGCGUGGCAGAGGGGGGUGGAAUCCCGCGUGUAGCAGUGAAAUGCGUAGAUAUGCGGAGGAACACCGAUGGCGAAGGCAGCCCCCUGGGCCAACACUGACGCUCAUGCACGAAAGCGUGGGGAGCAAACAGGAUUAGAUACCCCAGUAGUCCCUGUCUCUUAUAC